GAUGAAGAACGUAGUGAAAUGCGAUAAGUAAUGUGAAUUGCAGAAUUCAGUGAAUCAUCGAAUCUUUGAACGCACAUUGCGCCCAUUAGUAUUCUAGUGGGCAUGCCUGUUCGAGCGUCAUUAAGUCCACUUAAGCCCUGCUUAGUGUUGGGAGACUGCUCCAGCGGUGCUACCCUGUAGCUACCCUGCAGCUCCUCAAAGACAGCGGCGGAGUUGUGGUAUCCUCUGAGCUUAGUAACUUGUUCUAGCUUUCGAGUACACCACUUCCCCUGCCGUAAAACCCUUAAUUUUUAAUGGUUGACCUCGGAUCAGGUAGGAAUACCCACUGAACUUAAGCAUAUCAAUAAGCGGAGGA
rnacentral:misc_RNA from 1 species